GGGCGGAUGGUUUAGUGGUAUAAUACUCCCUUAGCAUGAAGUCACACCGUGAUCUAGUGUGGGAGUGGUCCGGGGUUCGAUUCCCCGUCUGUCCA